GCGUUGAAUUUUUCUUUUUUGCCCGUUGUUUUUGAACCUUAAUCUUAUCGGCGAUCGGAGUCUUAUCGCUAUUUAUAUUGAGAAUAUUCUUCAAUUUUGAAUCCAUUAUUCUGUGUUAUAUUAUUACAAAGGUAACAAAGAUAACUUGCUCAUUUUGAACAUAUUUAUAUAUUUAUACUUCUCAUACAUAUGAAUUUAGGGUUGCACGAAUGGCUGCCACAGUAAUAAAAAACCAAAAGAACCUGAAAAGUANCAUAGACGAAAUCAUUGAGUAUCAAGCUCCGAAACCAAUAUUAUUGCCAAGACCACCGGCUCAUUUACCGUUAAAUUACCGUUCAAUUUCGAAUCCAUUAUUCCGUGGUAUAUUACAAAUUAUAAUUAUAAUAUGUUUUUGUAUUUUUAAUAUACACUAUUGAC